UAAACUCACUUUGUGCUUCAUCUGAUUGUGGCCUAUGGGAAAGUUGCUGAGUAUUCAGUUUCUCAUUACCAGCAAUUACUGGGCUCACGUGAUUUGAAUUCACAUUCCAACUUGAACUUCCUGCACAAUUGAUUUGGAACUGGGCACUUGCAUUGGAACAUCACUUUUGUUCCUAUACACAUGCAGAUUAUUCAUCUGACAAUUUGAGUUCUUACAGUACAUAGUCAAGUUUGUUGUAG
rnacentral:lncRNA from 1 species